GAUGAACGCUAGCUACAGGCUUAACACAUGCAAGUCGAGGGGAAACGAUAGAGAAAGCUUGCUUUUUCUAGGCGUCGACCGGCGCACGGGUGAGUAACGCGUAUCCAACCCGCCCAUCACUUGGGGAUAACCUUGCGAAAGUAAGACUAAUACCCAAUGAUAUCUCAAGAAGACAUCUGAAUGAGAUUAAAGAUUUAUCGGUGAUGGAUGGGGAUGCGUCUGAUUAGCUUGUUGGCGGGGUAACGGCCCACCAAGGCGACGAUCAGUAGGGGUUCUGAGAGGAAGGCCCCCCACAUUGGAACUGAGACAUGGUCCAAACUCCUACGGGAGGCAGCAGUGAGGAAUAUUGGUCAAUGGGCGAGAGCCUGAACCAGCCAAGUAGCGUGCAGGAUGACGGCCCUAUGGGUUGUAAACUGCUUUUAUAAGGGAAUAAAGUGAGCCUCGUGAGGCUUUUUGCAUGUACCUUAUGAAUAAGGACCGGCUAAUUCCGUGCCAGCAGCCGCGGUAA
rnacentral:rRNA from 1 species